rnacentral:rRNA from 1 species
UAGUGAUUCCUACGGGAGGCAGCAGUGAGGAAUCUUCCACAAUGGGGGCAACCCUGAUGGAGCGACACCGCGUGAAGGAAGAAAGCCUAACGGUUGUAAACUUCUUUUCUGAGGGAGCAUAAUAAGAGUACCUUAGGAAUAAGGGACGGCAAAAUACGUGCCAGCAGCCGCGGUAAU